rnacentral:rRNA from 1 species
CGUCGACCGGCGCACGGGUGAGUAACGCGUAUCCAACCUUCCCGUUACUGCGGGAUAACCUGCCGAAAGGCAGACUAAUACCGCAUGUUCUUCGAUGACGGCAUCAGAUUCGAAGCAAAGAUCCGUCGGUAACGGAGGGGGAUGCGUCUGAUUAGCUAGUUGGCAGGGCGACGGCCCACCAAGGCGACGAUCAGUAGGGGUUCUGAGAGGAAGGUCCCCCACAUUGGAACUGAGACACGGUCCAAACUCCUACGGGAGGCAGCAGCG